GGAGGAAUGGCAGAGUGGUCGAUUGCGGCAGUCUUGAAAACUGUUGACUGUAACAGGUCCCGGGGUUCGAAUCCCUGUUCCUCCGCCC
rnacentral:tRNA from 2 species